CCUACGAGCGGCAGCAGUGGGGAAUAUUGGACAAUGGGCGAAAGCCUGAUCCAGCCAUGCCGCGUGUGUGAAGAAGGCCUUCGGGUUGUAAAGCACUUUCAGUGGGGAAGAAAGCCUUGGGGCUAAUACCCUCGAUGUUGGACAUCACCCACAGAAGAAGCACCGGCUAACUCCGUGCCAGCAGCCGCGGUAAUACGGAGGGUGCGAGCGUUAAUCGGAAUUACUGGGCGUAAAGCGCGCGUAGGCGGUCUGAUAAGCCGGUUGUGAAAGCCCCGGGCUCAACCUGGGAACGGCAUCCGGAACUGUCAGGCUAGAGUGCAGGAGAGGAAGGUAGAAUUCCCGGUGUAGCGGUGAAAUGCGUAGAGAUCGGGAGGAAUACCAGUGGCGAAGGCGGCCUUCUGGACUGACACUGACGCUGAGGUGCGAAAGCGUGGGUAGCAAACAGGAUUAGAUACCCCUGUAGUC
rnacentral:rRNA from 1 species